GUUAUGAGAUUAGCUCUGCAUCCUCCAGAGAAGAGGACUGAAAGAAUAGAGCAUCCUGUAACCUUACCUCAGAGGAGGUCGAGAGAGGACGACACGAAGAUGCUGCUUCUGUUUCUGUUGCUUCUGGGGCCAAAUUCUGGGCUUGGGGCUCUCGUCCUUCAACAUCCAAGCAGGACCAUCUGUAAAAGUGGUUCAUCAGUGAAGAUUGAAUGUCACUUUGUGGACUUGCAGGCCACAACAGUGUUUUGGUAUCAUCAGUUCCCAAAAGAGAGCUUUGUGCUGAUGGCAACUUCUAACACGGAUUCCAUAGCCUCAUAUGAAAAGGGUUUUAAUGAGACCAAGUUUGCCAUCCACCACCCAAACCUGACAUAUUCAACUCUGACGGUGACCACCACCCAUCCUGAAGACAGCAGCUUCUACUUCUGUGCAGCAAGUGACACAGCGCUUGGUGGAAAUCAGAGAGCUGGGCAAGAACAGGCUGAGUAGCAGCCUGUUCUGAGG